GGUACGUUUCGUAAAAUACUUCAUUCUGAACCCAGGACUCUGCCGAGCUCCCGUGUUGGUUGAGACUUGUAGAAGCAAUGAUUUAUAAAUUACAAACAGCAGCAAAGCAACAGCUGUUUCAGCAUCUGUCAUUGCCUGUGACAGAAAUACACGCAAAGCCCCGGGAACCUCAAGGUGUCAACCCAAGCAACCUGCUGCUACAGGCUUCCAUCAAUCAGAGUGACCGGCGCACGGCCACGGCUCCCAGUGGCAGCAAACAAAUGCUUCCAGCACGCUGCUCUCCGCCUGCCCUGGUGACUAACAGCUCAGGGGAAAAGAAGUUUGCAAGCAAUUUAUGGGUGGAAAAAAAAGGAUGGUCAAGGCUAAAGGCUGGCAGCAUCCCGAGCACGAUAUUUGCUCAGCAAAGCAGAUGAGCAGCAGAUUAUUAAAGCAAGAGCGUGGAACGGAUACUCCAAUUGGACCGAAGGAUCAAGUUGACAACACAAAAAGAUAGAAGCAGAGCUGGACAUUUUCAUCAAACGGGGCCUCGUUUCGCCGUGUAUGAUGUUAGUGCUGAAUGUCUUCUUGAGACCUCUUAGCAGAGCCUCGGUGGUUCUCCCACACACAGCUGGGGAUGAGAACAGGUCGAGCCAAGAACUCACAGGGACGUGAAAGUGAAAGCAGCAAUCAGUAAGGAAGGAAGAGCAUUUCCUUCCUAUUUCUCUUAGUUUUUUAAAGAGAUCUAGACAGUGUUUUUCAGAUCAGUUUCACAGGGACACUUUCGAGGGUCUGAUGGUUUACGAGAAGCCAGGAGCCCUGAUUAGCAGCACAAAUGCUGGCACUGCCAACAAGUGCAGGUCUCAGAGGCACCUCAGUGUCAGUGCUCCCAAGUGGGAGAGAGGUUGUUCAGGUAAUUCAUUUUACCAACACAUACAGCAAUAUUUUCAAUAAUUCUGUCUAGUCUGUUGCAAUUUUAUUGUCUAGUAAGAGGUAAUGGAUAAAAACGACCUGACCUUUUGUUAGUAAACUUCCACCAGGCUACACAUAAUAUUACUGAGCACUUCAUAUCCUCAGAGUGCUGCACAAAUAGUAAGUAAUGGAUCCACACGGUAAUUGUCCUGCACAAUGAGGAGCAAAGAGAGCAGCAUUUACAGUAAACACUGGGAGCACAGGGUGCAGGGCCCAUCCACAACACAAAGCUCUCUGAUUUUGGAGGUUGUGUAACACCAGCAUUGGGUCCUGGUCGUGUUGUAACUGGCCUAGAAAAACAGACCUGGAAGGGCCAAAAACCAAAACCAGUUGCAUAACAGUAAUCCAUUUCUGGCUUUCUUUUAGUUAAGAAUGAAAUUAACUUUCAAUUGAUUAGGAAUUAAAAGCAUAACAGGGAAUAUAGCCCAAAUGCACCGCAGAAGAGGCAACAGACCCGCAUAGAACACACUCUUGCCUCCAACCUUUAAAGCUAUUAACCCUGGCAUGAAUUUUUAUUUACUGUUAAUUAGGGGACUGGCAGCAAGAAUCAAUUAAUUAAUUACAUCUCAGAUCCACUGGAAAGGAUAAUGGAAAUCAAAGAGAGCUUGAUUAUCCUGCAUCCACGGAGAAAAGACUGCAAAGCAACCCUGGAUAAUAGCACUGCCUUUAAGUGGGAAGAAAUCAGGGUUUAAACAAAAUAAAUGAAUAAGCAAACAAAUAAAUAUUGAAGUCUAGUGAGCAAGAUUGUAUCUCAUGUCAGAAAUGAUGAACCCUCCCGUGACUUGGGUCACCCUCUGGGACAAUACCCAUCCCUGGCUUCUGCUUCCAUGUUCACCUCUGGAGCAUUCUGUUCUUGGGUCUUUCCCAUCUCAGCCCUGCAGAGUUCUCCCUUCCGCUCCUCACCUGCAAAGCACCCCUCAGGUUCAGGUGAUGGGAGUGCUGGGGAAGGCCCAGAAGG
ensembl:lncRNA